GUGUAGAGUCUCUUGUGCCCAGGGGCUCCCAUUCAAUGUGAAUUGUAUUUUAUAAUAUACCAAGAGCCCCCAAACACAGAAGUGACCUGGACCUCUCUCAGCAUCUGUAGAGGAAGCAUUUUAGAAAAGCGGAAAAUAAAAGUGAUAGGACAGAAAUACAAUGGCUGUCAAAGAAGAAAACUCUACAUUACUGUCACCUAGAAAGAUAAACUCUACAGUUGGAAAUUCUGUCCAAUUUCUUCCAUGUGGCAGAUGCUGUGAUGAGCCACCGAGAUCCUCCUUCAGGAAGGAAGACUUAUUCCUCCAGAUGCUAAGAGUGCUACUGGAGGAUGGCUCUCAGCUGUGAGCCCUCAGCUGAAGACAGUUGUCUCACCUUGAUCAGGCCUCCUUCCAGAAGUAGCCUGCCUUUGAUGACAAACUGAUUGGGCUGAGGGGAACACUAUAAAGGCCAGUUCUCAGUCCCUAUUUGAUAUGACUCUCAAGAUUAAAGCUAGUGCAGUGCUCCCCAUGGGGACAGGGGAAGGCUUCUUUGGGACUGGUUUGCAGAUCACAUUCCCCAUCUGCCCAGCUCUGCUUCUCCCCCAACCCCUCCAUGGUCCAGGAGCUCUCCCAAAUAAAUGAUCUGCCGACUAACCUCAGUCCAGUUAGCUUUCUGGAAAGCCCAACCUGCAACAUUUACUUAUAAAAAAGUAAAAUUGUUGGGUUUUGGAUGAGAUCCAUUACAUCUGAUUAUUAAUUUGGCAGGAAUCAACAUUUUUACUAUAAUAUAUUGUCUUCCCACUGUAUAUUUUUCUAUCUGUUUCAUUUUUUCUUAUAAUCUCAAAAACAGUUUGAAGUAUUCUUCACAUAGGAUCUGGAGUUUCUUUUUAAGACUAUUCCCAAGUAUUUUUCAUUUGGCAUUGAUAUUAUUAGUGAGAUCUAGUACUUUUUCCUCCCUAUGGUGCAAAAUAAAUUUACAAUCCCA